rnacentral:tRNA from 1 species
GCCUUCUUGGCUCAGUUGGCAGAGCGUAUGCCUAGUAAGCAGAAGGUCACCAGUUCAAUUCUGGUAGAAGGCA